GACGUAGGGACCGAGCGUUGUCCGGAUUUGUUGGGCGUAAAGCGCGCGCAGGCGGCCGUGCAAGUCGGAUGUGAAAAUCCGGAGCCCAACUCCGGACCUGCAUUCGAAACUGCACGGCUAGAGGCAGGUAGGGGAGAGGGGAAUUCCCGGUGUAGCGGUGAAAUGCGCAGAUAUCGGGAGGAACACCGGUGGCGAAGGCGGCAUUCUGGACCGACAUUGACGCUGAGGAGCGAAAGCCAGGGGAGCAAACGGG
rnacentral:rRNA from 1 species